rnacentral:rRNA from 1 species
CGCUAGCUACAGGCUUAACACAUGCAAGUCGAGGGGCAGCAUUUCAGUUUGCUUGCAAACUGGAGAUGGCGACCGGCGCACGGGUGAGUAACACGUAUCCAACCUGCCGAUAACUCGGGGAUAGCCUUUCGAAAGAAAGAUUAAUACCCGAUGGUAUAAUCAGACCGCAUGGUCUUGUUAUUAAAGAAUUUCGGUUAUCGAUGGGGAUGCGUUCCAUUAGGCAGUUGGUGAGGUAACGGCUCACCAAACCUUCGAUGGAUAGGGGUUCUGAGAGGAAGGUCCCCCACAUUGGAACUGAGACACGGUCCAAACUCCUACGGGAGGCAGCAGUGAGGAAUAUUGGUCAAUGGGCGCAGGCCUGAACCAGCCAAGUAGCGUGAAGGAUGACUGCCCUAUGGGUUGUAAACUUCUUUUAUAUGGGAAUAAAGUUUUCCACGUGUGGAAUUUUGUAUGUACCAUAUGAAUAAGGAUCGGCUAACUCCGUGCCAGCAGCUGCGGUAAUACGGAGGAUCCGAGCGUUAUCCGGAUUUAUUGGGUUUAAAGGGAGCGUAAGUGGGACAGUUAAUUCCAUUUGUGAAAGUUUGCGGCUCAACCGUAAAAUUGCAGUUGAUACUGGCCUGCCUUGAGUACAGUAGAGGUGGGGCGGGAAUUCGUGGUGUAGCGGUGAAAUGCUUAGAUAUCACGAAGAACUCCGAUUGCGAAGGCAGCUCACUGGACUGCAACUGACACUGAUGCUCGAAAGUGUGGGUAUCAAACAGGAUUAGAUACCCUGGUAGUCCACACAGUAAACGAUGAAUACUCGCUGUUUGCGAUAUACAGUAAGCGGCCAAGCGAAAGCAUUAAGUAUUCCACCUGGGGAGUACGCCGGCAACGGUGAAACUCAAAGGAAUUGACGGGGGCCCGCACAAGCGGAGGAACAUGUGGUUUAAUUCGAUGAUACGCGAGGAACCUUACCCGGGCUUAAAUUGCAUUUGAAUAUAUUGGAAACAGUAUAGCCGUAAGGCAAAUGUGAAGGUGCUGCAUGGUUGUCGUCAGCUCGUGCCGUGAGGUGUCGGCUUAAGUGCCAUAACGAGCGCAACCCUUAUCUUUAGUUACUAACAGGUCAUGCUGAGGACUCUAGAGAGACUGCCGUCGUAAGAUGUGAGGAAGGUGGGGAUGACGUCAAAUCAGCACGGCCCUUACGUCCGGGGCUACACACGUGUUACAAUGGGGGGUACAGAAGGCAGCUACCUGGUGACAGGAUGCUAAUCCCAAAAGCCUCUCUCAGUUCGGAUCGAAGUCUGCAACCCGACUUCGUGAAGCUGGAUUCGCUAGUAAUCGCGCAUCAGCCAUGGCGCGGUGAAUACGUUCCCGGGCCUUGUACACACCGCCCGUCAAGCCAUGAAAGCCGGGGGUACCUGAAGUACGUAACCGCAAGGAGCGUCCUAGGGUAAAACUGGUAAUUGG